rnacentral:tRNA from 1 species
GCCGGCGUGGCGGAAAUGGCAGACGCAGACACUUCGCAGGUGUCCGGGUUACGGCCCGUGUGAGUUCGACUCUCACCGCCGGCA